rnacentral:rRNA from 1 species
UGGGGAAUUUUGGACAAUGGGGGCAACCCUGAUCCAGCAAUGCCGCGUGAGUGAAGAAGGCCUUCGGGUUGUAAAGCUCUUUUGUCAGGGAAGAAACGGUAGUAGCGAAUAACUAUUACUAAUGACGGUACCUGAAGAAUAAGCACCGGCUAACUACGUGCCAGCAGCCGCGGUAAUACGUAGGGUGCAAGCGUUAAUCGGAAUUACUGGGCGUAAAGCGUGCGCAGGCGGUUGUGUAAGUCAGAUGUGAAAUCCCCGGGCUCAACCUGGGAAUUGCAUUUGAGACUGCACGGCUAGAGUGUGUCAGAGGGGGGUAGAAUUCCACGUGUAGCAGUGAAAUGCGUAGAUAUGUGGAGGAAUACCGAUGGCGAAGGCAGCCCCCUGGGAUAACACUGACGCUCAUGCACGAAAGCGUGGGGAGCAAACAGGAUUAGAUACCCCUGUAGUCCCUGAGCGGGCUGGCAAGGCGCAU